CAGGGCUCAGCACAGCCAGGCUAGGGGACGCCACCCGUGCCCAGCCUUUCCGGACGCGUCCCCAGUCCCGCGGCGCUGGCUUCCUGCGCGUCUCCCGAGGAGGCCCUCAACCUUCACAAAUAUUGAGCAGUGGAGGGGGUAGAUAUGCUUGUACCCAUUUUGCAGAUGGAGGAGAAGCAACAAUCAUUUGAAAUGACCGUGCUGAUAACUGCCACACUGCACAUUCCAGGAUCAGCCAGCACCAGCGAAGGACUGGGCUUCUAGCUCGUGCAAACAGCUCGUAUUAAAUUAUUUAGUCCGCAAAUGACUAUUAAAGCGCCGUGCCAGAGUGAAAGCCGCAGAAAGGCCAGAUUCGAGUAACAACAGCAUUGUCUGCUUCAAUUAAUUAUUGAAUUUUUUAAGGGCCCACAAAUGGAUAAACACAAUUCAUUGCUUGCUCUGGGGAGCCAGGGUCUCUGGGAGCAUUCACAAAGUACACGAGCUCCCUGGAGCGGAUCAGUGGUGCUGGAGAUGGGAGGCAGGAGCUGGGCUGCAUCUGAGACCCAGUGGGCCUCUCAGUUCAGUGCCUGUGGGGAAAUUAAUACUUUCACCCCCUGGCCAGCCCUGGCCUGCAAGCCCUGAGCUGCCCUUGAACAUAUGGCCAUGGUUGCCUUCUUUUUUCUUUUUAUCAGCCAUAACUUACAAUGUCCUCUCCAUCACACAGUCUGGCUUGUUUCUCUGACCCACUGCAGAGGUCAGGUGGAAAGCUUUGUGUGCAGAUUCCCUGGCAAUUGAAUUUUGAUCCAUUUAAGUCAGCCUGCUUCCUUCUGGACCAGAGCUCUUCUGACAUGCAAGACACGUCAUCUGGUUCUGAGACAGGACCUUGAAGAGAAUGUAAUGUUUCUAGAAGAAUGAAGUUGGCUUCGGGCACAUGCAGCCAUGAUGCUGAAGCUGGAUUAGUCGCAUGCACUGGGCUCCUUACCCAGCCCCGAAUGCCCCUGGGCUGUGCCCUCUGCAGAGUCUUUGAGUUGGCUAGCUUCUGUUGUUACCUGUGUCCUCCAGUCCCACAGGGUCCAGCAGAAUAACCUUCACUACCCACACCACCGCACUUUGCCAGUGUUCUGCUUCUACACUGCUAGGUAUAAUACAAACCCCCAAACUUAAAGGGGGUUUACAGGAGCUAAGGAGCUGAAUGGGUAGGAUACUGUCCUCCCAAAAUCAAUGUUGCCUGCAGCCCUAGAAUGUGCCUGCCUUUGCAAUUAGGGUCUUGGCAGGUAGAAAAUGGUGAGACUCUUAAGAUGGGGUCACCCUGGGUUUCGGGGUUCUUGUGGGAAGAAGGAAUACGGAACAUGGAGCCUUGGGGUUCAUGGAGCCUUGGAGGGAGUGUGGUCCUGUGGACAGCUUAACUAGCACCGUAGCUCUGAGACUGUGUGCCCGCGGUUAGUGUCGACACUUGGGACAUUCCUAAGAAACGAAUGCAGAGGUAAUGUAGCCCCAAAGCUGUCGCCCUUCAGUAGUUUUACAUGUUAUAUUUUAAUUUUUUGUUAGUUAUUUGCCUACUUGAGGACAUGUGGCAGUCCGACGGAGACUCAUGGGAGUCAGUUCCCUCCUUCCACCUUGUGAGUCCCAGGGACGAACUCAGGUUCUCAGGCUUGUGGCAAGCACCCUUACCUGCUGAGCUGUCUCGCUAGACCCUUAAUUUGCUUCUUGUCAGACCAAGUGACUCAUACAGUGACUCAGGGGAGCUCUGGUUGUCAAGGGAAACAUGAACAGUGUUGAACUUCUGGCCACUGGGCCCGCAUGGCCAGCUCUCCCUAUAGAGUCUGCUUUAAUCCUGGGAGGCAAGGAAGCAUGCUCCUGUCUGUAGAAACAGGCUCACGAGGUAAUGUCCACCUCUGAGGGGGUCUGUCUGCCUCUGGUCUUCCCCACCCAGUCUCUCUAAGAGCUCUGCAAGGGUGGACAGGGGGCUUGUUUACUGCACAUGCUGGGGUCUCCUGUGUGGGGGUGUGUUCUCCACACCCCGGCAUCCAUCAGACCAAAGCAACUUGAGUUAUGUAAGAAAUAAAGGGAAUGGAACAAU